UUUAGCUGUCAGACUUCACAUCGUCUAAUAGACCUGAGAUAUGACCCUGGUGCAUGCGUCAUGUAACGCUGAAUAUAAACCCCAGCACUGCAGCAGUGUUUACGACUUCGUCGGAACUUGGAUUGUAACACAUAUGCAGGGAAAUAGAUACUGGCUUUUAUAGGGACAAGGUUUUUCUAACGUGUGACCGUGUUACUCGCAGUCAAGGGAAGCAUCAAGGACAACAGAGAUGAGGCUUUCACUACUCUUGCAUCUCUUGUUCAUCUGUGCGCACAAAGAAUUAUGUUCCAGUUAUGUCACAAGGAGGGUCAUUCACGUUGACAGUGUUCCGCGUACUAUUGAGGCUACGCCACCUUACCGGGGGUCAGCUGAGUGGCGCUUCUUGGUUAGUGAUGUGAUAGGGUCACUUAUACCUUGACCGUCAACACCAGGUUGCCGCCUACGAGGAACUGUUCACAAUAAUAACUCUGUCAUAAGUAUCAAAGAAG